rnacentral:rRNA from 1 species
UACGUAGGCAGCAAGCGUUGUUCGGAGUUACUGGGCGUAAAGGGUGUGUAGGCGGUCUUCUAAGUUUGGUGUGAAAUCUCCCGGCUCAACUGGGAGGGUGCGCCGAAAACUGGGAGGCUAGAGUGCGGGAUGGGAGAGUGGAAUUCCUGGUGUAGCGGUGAAAUGCGGUAGAUAUCAGGAGGAACACCUGUGGUGUGAGACGGCUCACUGGACUGGUAC